GACGAACGCUGGCGGCGUGCUUAACACAUGCAAGUCGAACGGAAAGGCCCUGCUUUUGUGGGGUGCUCGAGUGGCGAACGGGUGUGUAACACGUGAGUAACCUGCCCUUGACUUUGGGAUAACUUCAGGAAACUGGGGCUAAUACCGGAUAGGAGCUCCUGCUGCAUGGUGUGGGUUGGAAAGUUUCGGCGGUUGGGGAUGGACUCGCGGCUUAUCAGCUUGUUGGUGGGGUAGUGGCUUACCAAGGCUUUGACGGGUAGCCGGCCUGAGAGGGUGACCGGCCACAUUGGGACUGAGAUACGGCGCAGACUCCUACGGGAGGCAGCAGUGGGGAAUAUUGCACAAUGGGCGGAAGCCUAAUGCAGCAACGCCGCGUGCGGGAUGACGGCCUUCGGGUUGUAAACCGCUUUCGCCUGUGACGAAGCGUGAGUGACGGUAAUGGGUAAAGAAGCACCGGCUAACUACGUG
rnacentral:rRNA from 1 species